UACGUAGGUGACCAGCGUUGUCCGGAUUUACUGGGCGUAAAGAGCGCGCAGGCGGUCGUUCAAGUCGCGUGUGAAAGCCCCCGGCUCAACGUGGGGGAGGUCACUCGAUACUGAUCGACUCGAAGGCAGGAGAGGGAAGUGGAAUUCCCGGUGUAGUGGUGAAAUGCGUUAGAUAUCGGGAGGAACACCAGUGGCGAAGGCGACUUCCUGGCCUGUUCUUGACGCUGAGGCGCGAAAGCGUGGGGAGCGAACAGG
rnacentral:rRNA from 1 species